rnacentral:rRNA from 1 species
CGUUAGAUUAGCUAGUUGGUAAGGUAAUGGCUUACCAAGGCUUUGAUCUAUAGCUGGUCUGAGAGGAUGAUCAGCCACACUGGAACUGAGAUACGGUCCAGACUCCUACGGGAGGCAGCAGUGGGGAAUAUUGGACAAUGGGCGCAAGCCUGAUCCAGCUAUGCCGCAUGAGUGAUGAAGGCCUUCGGGUUGUAAAACUCUUUCAAUAGGGAAGAUAAUGACGGUAC